rnacentral:lncRNA from 1 species
UAAGACUUCACUUGGAAAGUUCCCAUAGAGGUCGUAAUGACCGGAUGACGGUACUUACAAACUUGCUUGAGAUCGAAACCAAUGCAGCCGUACGCGCAAGAAGGAACUCGUUGAAACUACUCUACUGCUACUCCUAGGGUUUUGGUGGCGUGGCGCCGAAAGGUUGUAUUGAUUGAUUGGUGAUUAUUCAUUACAAGGCUCAUAGGCUGAUACUUAUACCCUAGAGUAAGUUAAAA